rnacentral:rRNA from 1 species
AAACUGGGAUUAGAUACCCCACUAUGCCUAGCCGUAAAACAUACACUCACCCCAUAAAUCGCCAGGGAAUUACGAGCCCAAGCUUAAAACCCAAAGGACUUGACGGUGUCCCACCCACCUAGAGGAGCCUGUUCUGUAAUCGAUUAUCCCCGAUAAACCUCACCAUUUCUAGUAAACUCAGCCUGUAUACCUCCGUCGCAAGCUUACCAUGUGAACGUCUACUAGUGAGCUCAAAGAUUCCUCAUCCACACGUCAGGUCAAGGUGCAGCUAACGAACUGGGAAGAAAUGGGCUACAAUUUCUAUAAUAGAACAAACGAAAGGCUACAUGAAACACAGCCACUGAAGGCGGAUUUAGCAGUAAAAAGAAAAUAGAGAGUUCUUUUUAACAAGGCGCUGGGACGCGU